AUACGUAGGGGGCAAGCGUUAUCCGGAUUUACUGGGUGUAAAGGGAGCGUAGACGGUAUGGCAAGUCUGAUGUGAAAGCCCGGGGCUCAACCGCGGGACUGCAUUGGAAACUGUCAGACUUGAGUGCAGGAGAGGUAAGUGGAAUUCCUAGUGUAGCGGUGAAAUGCGUAGAUAUUAGGAGGAACACCGGUGGCGAAGGCGGCUUACUGGACUGUAACUGACGUUGAGGCUCGAAAGCGUGGGGAGCAAACAGGAUUAGAUCCCCUGGUAGUCCACGCCGUAAACGAUGAAUACUAGGUGUUGGGAGACAAUAGUUUCUCGGUGCCGCAGCAAACGCAAUAAGUAUUCCACCUGGGGAGUACGUUCGCAAGAAUGAAACUCAAAGGAAUUGACGGGG
rnacentral:rRNA from 1 species